ACAAAAUGAAAUUCUUAACUAAAAAGGCAAAAAUGUACCAUUGUACACAGAUUUGAAAACAAAAUUUCAGCCUAUAUAGAAAUUUCUUUGACAUAUAGAAGUUCUUUGCACGGACAUAAAGAUGCACAAAGUACAAAAUAUGAAUAAAUUUAUUUGCAACUCCGCAGCACAUGUCAAUUAUUUGACACAAAAACUGGAUUGGGUAGGGAAGAGAAGAACGAGGGUAUGUAUGGGGAGGGAGUCACCUCUGCAUGGCGAGGGAGGCGGAUCUGGAAGUUGCUGACUAGAGAGGCGGAUCUGGAAGUUGCCGACCACGAAGGCAGAUUUGGAAUUUGCCGAGCAAUCAGACGGAUCUAGACGUCGCCCGCAGGGACGGUGGCCCUUGACGGCAGGGGUAGGGGGCGCUCAAUGCCGAAGUGGGACUAGAUUGGGAGGGAGGCGACAGACAGAAUAGGACGGACGGUACGGGGGAAGUGGCGGCGCUGGACGGGGGCGGUUGAGCCAUCGUGGGAGCGGGACAAGUAGCAUGAUGGGGGCACAAAUCAUGCGAAAGACACCUCGAGAGCAAAAUAUUCGCGUGCUUGUCACACCCCAAAUGAAAAAACCACGUGCCUCGGAAGCGAAAGUAUCUUCGGGUCCUGCAUAGGUAUCUUCCUGACAGCCAUGUACACGUUCCUGAAUUUGUGCAAAGUGAUUCGUGAUUUGAAUAUACUACUGACGCAAACGUUCCACUCCAUUCCUGAAUGUUAUUCUCAUCCUUGAAGGUCAUUAUCGAGAACGUCAGGACCGUAACCACCUUUCGCCUCGGCUGAACAUCCUCAUCAGGAACAGGCACACAUUCUUGAAGAGGCUUCGGGGCGAUAACGAAGGUGUCUAAAGCAUCACCAAAAACUUAGUUUCGGGUACUGAAUUUGGGUUGGUAAAAUUAUCUCUAGUAAAAUCAUCUUUAGGUUUUUAGCAAGCAUCUUUUGAAUUAUAUCUACUACGGUGUCAUUAUACCACCUCUGUUAUUUCCCUCUAGUUUGUCACGCUGGAGACUUCCUGUGUAAUCUUUGGACGAACGAAAUGCCAAUAUUUCUUGUAGAAGAUUGCAUACAAACCGUCAUGGCCUACGGCUUUGAGAUGUGAAAAUAGUGCGCCUCACUUCAUCCUCCAUAGGUGAAUCAGUUGUUCAUUUAAUUAUUUAGAAACUCACAGGAGAAUCUUUUCAAAUAAUCAAAGAUCAGUUUUCUGAUAGUGAGAAAUGUUGCGACAUGAUACUAGAUCCUACACGUUAGCGUGAAAGAACAUGUUAAAAAUUAUAUUACCAACCAUUUCGGAAUUCUACAAUGUUCCGGUCCUUUUUGGCUCUAAACUAUUUUCUCACUGCGAUUGUGUUAGAAACUCAGUUUAUAGCCAUGGUUAAUAUCAUUUAAUCGAGCACGGUGCAUCCAUUCAGAAAUAUCAUUGUAACAUUCCAAUUAUCGGCCCUACAAUAACAAGGGUCAUGCAUCAUUUAUAUAAUACUUUGUUUACCGAUGACCCUAUCCAUAAUAUUUUGUUAAACCAUACUGACCCAACCAUGUUUAUUUUUGCAAGUGCGCAAUCUCUCAAUACUUUAGAGAUUUCGAGGAGUGAGAUUAGCGACUGCGUAGUGGAAGAUGUUGCACAAAUACUGUCCAAGGUUACAUUCCUGGAUGUAAGCAGCUGCACAUAGAUUGGUGCCAGUGCUCUUGAUGCAUUUGGCAAUAAAUAGAAAUCCCUCGUCAGACAUGGCGAGUCAUGCACCCCAUAGAUGUCCUUGCAAAGGUGUGACAGAAUGACGAGGCCCAUUCUAUAGGAAGCAACAUGCCAAAGCUCCGCCACCUCUAGAUAGGAUACAUGCUCAUUAAGACUAAGGUUGUCAUCUAGAUCGCCUCCCAGUGCCUUGACCUCAAGUUAUUAUUUCCACAUUGUUGCCGGACGUCGAGGAUAAGCUCUUGCAAGAGAAGUAUCCUUGGCUGAAAAACCUCAGCGCGACUGCUAUGAGAACCACAUCUGCGACGAGUGCACCGAUUACUUGGAUGAUGAUUACAUCUAUUCAUGGGACCAGUUCAUGGAUGGUGCAAACUUCGUAGAUGCGGUUCUCAUGACGUCCAUGAAAUUUUGCAUGAGUAGAUCUAUUCAUCAUCCGAGUCACCAGUGCAAUCCUCCCUGAAGCAGUUCUGAUAGCAGUCGCCACAUGGGCCCAAGGGUUUUAAGCGUAGGAAACUUAUCUUGCAAGAGCUUAUCAUCGACAUCCCAACAACCACGCCAAUCUAAGCACUUGAGGUUAUUGCACUCGGAGGCGAUCUUGACAACAACUUAGUCUUAAUGAGCAUGUUUCAUAUCUCGAGGUGUCGGAGCUUUGGCAUUUUGCUGGCAGAAGCAUAGACCUCAUCAUUCUGGCAAACCUUCCCAACAACAUCAAUUGGGUGCACGACCCGCCGAAGUAUGAUGAGGGUUUUGCAGUUCUUGGGAAAUGGCUACAGAGCAUGGGCGCCAAUCUUGGUGCAACUGCAUACGUCCACGAAUGUAACCUUGGGAAGUCUUUGUGUAAGAUCUUGUCUGCAGUCACUGAUCUCGCUCCUCGGAAUCUCCAAAGUAAGAUUGCACACCUGAAAAAGCAAACACCGUAGGGUCAGUAAGGUUUAACAAAAAAAUGUUGAUAGGGUCAUUGGUAAACAAAGUAUUAUAUAUAUGAUGGAUAACCAUUGUUCUAGUAGUGCCCAUAAUUUGAUCUAACAAAACUAUCAUCAAAUGGAUACAUCCUUCUCAAUUAUGUGUUAUUAACUGCGGCUGUGAAAUGAUUUUCUAACAUCAUUUCAAUCUGAAAAUAGGUCAGAGUCGGGAAGCACUAGAGCAUUGUAGUGUUUGGAAAUGGUUGGUAAUAUAAUUUUGAACAUGUUCUUCCGCACGGAAGUGCAGGAUCUGGUACCAUGUUCGUAAUAUUUCUCACUAUCAGAAAACAGUUUAAGCUAGCAGAGCAUUAUUGUGCUAACAACUUGAAUAGACCACAUAGCAAAUUUCUCACAAGUACUACAAGAUUACUCAAUGUAUUAAUUAACAUCGGUUAAGUACGAACUGAACUUGUUAACUAAAAAGGCAAAAUAUACCACUGUACACAGAUUAGAAAACUAAAUUUCAACCUUAAAUAGGAAUUUCUUCAACAUAUAGAAGUGCUUUGCACUGACAUAAAGAUGCAUAAAGUCACAAAUUCAGAACUAAGAAUGAAAUAAAUUUAUUUGUAACCCGGUAACACAUGGUAAUAAUUUGACACAACAACUAGAUUGAGUAGGGAAGAGGAGAAAGAGGGCAUGGAUGGAGAGGGAGUCACCUCUGCACGGCGAGGGAGGCAGAUAUGGAAGUCGCCGACUAGGGAGGCGGAUCUGGAUGUCUCCAGCAAGGAGGGUGGCCAUGAACGACAGAGGCAGGGGGCACUCGAUGGUGAGGUGGGCACCUCUAGAUUUGGAGGGAGGCGGCAGACCAAAACUAGAAGGCCGAUAUGGGGGGAGUGGCGGUGUUGGACGGUGGAGGUAGACCGAUCGUGGGAGUGGGACUAGUAGCACAAUGGGGGCACUACUUGAUCAUGUUUUAGGUAUUUUGACCCAACCCUCCCGAUGACAGCGCACGUUAUGCGAAAAACACCUCGGGAAGCAAAUAUCAGUGUGCUUCUCACUUCCCAAAUGAAAAAAUCACGUGCCCCGGAAGUGAAAAAAUCACGUGCCCCGGAAGCGAAAUAUCUUCGGGUCCCUCGUAGGUAUCUUCCUGAUAGCCAUGUACACUGUCUUGAAUUUGUGUAAAGUGAUUUGUGACCUGGAUAUAGUACCGACGCAAAUGUUCCAUUCCGUUCCUGAAGGUUAUUAUGAAGAACCUCACGAACAUACCACCUUUCGCCUUGGCUGAACAUCCACGGCACGAACAGGCACACAUUCCUGAAGGAGACUUCGGGGCCAUCACAAACGUGCCUAAUCAUCACCAAAAAGUUAGUUUUGGGUAGUGAAUUUGGGUUGGUCAAAUAAUCUCUGGUAAAAUCAUCUUUAGAUUAUUAGCAAGCAUCUUCGGAAUUAAGUCUACUAUCGUGUCAUUGUACCCCCUUUGUUAUUUGCCUCGAGCUUGUCACGUUGGGGACUUCUUGUGUAAUCUUUUGACCCUUCAAAAGCCAAUAUUUCUUGUAGAAAAUUGCAUGCAAACCAUCCAGGCCUGCGACUUUGAGAUGUGAAAAUAGUGCGCAUCACUUCAUCCUCCAUAAGUGAAUCAGUUGUUCAUUUAAUUCUUUAGAAACUAACAGGAGAAUGUUUUCAAGUAAACAAACAUCUAUUUUCAGAUAGUGAGAAAUGUUGCGAAGAAGGUACUAGAUGCUACACAUCAAUGCAGAAGAACAUGUUCAAAAUUAUAUUACCAACCAUUUCCAAACUCUAUAAUGCUCCAGUGCUUUUUGGCUCUAAACUAUUUUCUCAUUGCGAUAGUGUUCGAAACUUAGUUCAUAGAUGUGGUUAAUAUCAUUUAAUUGAUCAAGAGUCCAUUUGGAGAUAUUUUUGUUACAUUCAAAUUAUCGACCCUACUAGAAUAAGGGUCAUGCAUCAUUUAUAUAAUACUUUGUUUACCAAUGACCCUAUCCACUAUAAUUUGUUAAACCAUACUGACCCUACCAUGUUUAUUUUUGGAAGUGCGCGAUCACUCAAUACUUUCGAGAUUCCAAGGAGUGAGAUCAGCGACUGCAUAGUGGAAGAUGUUGCACAAAGACCGUCCAGGGUUACAUUCCUCGAUGUAAGCAGUUGCACCAAGAUUGGUGCCCGUGCUCUGGAUGCAUUUGGCAAGAAAUAGAAAUCCCUCGUCAGACAUCGGCAAGUCAUGCACACCAUAGAUGUCGCUGGGAAGGUGUGCCAGAAUCACGAGGCCCAUGCUAUUGUAAGCAACAUGCCAAAGCUCUGCCACCUUGAGAUAGGAUACAUGCUCAUUAAGACUAUGGUUGUCGUCAAGAUCGCCUUCCAGCGCCUUGACCUCAAGUUCUUAGAUCUGUGUGGUUGCUGGGACGUUGACGAUACGCUCUUGCAACAGAAUAGUCCUUGGCUGAAAAGCAUCGGCCCCCGCAUGGGCGACUGCUAUGAGAACCACAUCUGCGAGGAGUGCACUGAUGACUCGGAUGAUGAAUACUCAUGACGUCCAUGAACUUUUGCAUGAGUAGAUGUAGUCAUAAUCCGAGUCAUCGGUGCAAUCCUCCCUAAAGCGAUUCUGAUAGCAGUCACCACACAGCGGCCGAUGGUUUUCAGCCCAGGAAACUAUCUUGCAAGAGCUUAUCUUCGACGUCCCGAUAACCGCACAAAUCUUAGAACUUGUGGUCAUGGCACUCAGAGGCGAUCUUCUAAAUUACCUUAGUCUUAAUGAGCAUGUUUCCAAUCUAGAGGUGGUGGAGCUUUGGAAUAUUGCUGGCAGUAGCAUGGGCGUCCUCAUUCUGGCAAACCUUCGCAACGACAUCUAGAGGUUGCAUGACUCACCGAAGUCUGACAAGGGUUUUGCAGUUCUUGCCAAAUGGCUACAUAGCACGGGCGCCAAUCUUGGUGUAGCUGCAUACGUCCAGGAAUGUUACCUUGGGAACUCUUCGUGCAAGAUCUUCUUCUAUGCAGUCACUGAUCUCGCUCCUCGGAAUCUUCAAAGUAUUGGGAGAUUGUGCACCGGCAAAAGGAAACACUAUAGAGUCAAUAACGUUUAAAAAAAUGUUGAUAGGGUCAUCAGUAAACAAAGUAUUAUAUAUAUAUGAUGCAUAUACCUUGUUCUAGUAGCGUCCAUAAUUUGAAUGUAACAAGAAUAUUACCAAAUAGACACAUCAUGCUCAAUUAAGUGUUAUUAACUGCGGCUAUGAAAUGAGUUUCUAACAUCAUACCAAUCAGCACAUAGAUCAAAGCCGGGAAGCACUAGAGCAUUGUAGAGUUCGGAAAGCGUUGGUAAUAUAAUUUUGAAUAUGUUCUUCUGCACAGAUGUGAAGGAUCUGGUACCAUGUUCGUAAUAUUUCUCACUAUCAGAAAACAAAUUAAGCCAGCGGAGCAUUAUUGUGCUAGCAACUUGCAUAGACCACACAACAAGUUUAUCCCAAGUACUACAAGAUUACUCAAUGUCUCAAUCACCAUCGUUUAAGUACAAAAUGAAACUGUUAACUAAAAAGGCAAAAUGUACAACUGUACACAUAUUAGAAAACUAAAUUUCAACCUUAAAUAGCAAUUUCUUCGACAUAUAGAAGUUCUUUGCAUGGACUUUAAGAUGCAUAAAGUCACAAAUUCAGAACUAAGAAUGAAAUAGAUUUAUUUGUAACUCUGCAACACAUGGUAAUUAUUUGACACAACUACUAGAUCGGGUAGGAAUGAGGAGAAAGAGGGCAUGGACGGGGAGGGAGUCACCUCAGCACGGUGAGGGAGGCGGAUCUGGAAGUCGCCGACCAGGGAGGUGGAUCUGGAAGUUGCCCACCAGGGAGGCGGGUCAGGACAUUACCGGCAAGGAGGGUGGCCCUCGAUGGCAGGGGCAGGGGGCGCUUGAUGGCGAGGAUGGCCGCGUUCGACGCACAACUGGGGCCGCGACAGGGAUGGCAGCGUUCACCGCGUCCGAUGCCGCCCGAUGUGAACCCGCAACUACUAACUGCUACUCUCUCUUUCUCACUUUCUUUGUUUGUUGUGCUCAAACACACUAGUGAAACAUAUACUCAUUGGUGUAGCAUAUACACGCCACACACAUACGAGGAGGAUUGGUAGUACUACUAUUAAGCUCUUUGGCUGAUGGAGUGGAAUUACAACGGGAGGAGUGGUGCUGUUUAUAUAGCACUUACAAACCGACCUAUGGUACGCAUGUGCUGACGUCAAGUAUCUAAA
rnacentral:lncRNA from 1 species